rnacentral:rRNA from 1 species
ACACGUAGGGUGCAAGCGUUAAUCGGAAUUACUGGGCGUAAAGCGUGCGCAGGCGGUUCGGAAAGAAGGAUGUGAAAUCCCAGGGCUCAACCUUGGAACUGCAUUCUUAACUACCGAACUAGAGUAUGUCAGAGGGGGGUAGAAUUCCGCGUGUAGCAGUGAAAUGCGUAGAUAUGCGGAGGAAUACCGAUGGCGAAGGCAGCCCCCUGGGAUAAUACUGACGCUCAUGCACGAAAGCGUGGGUAGCAAACAGGAUUAGAUACCCUGGUAGUCCACGCCCUAAACGAUGUCAACUAGCUGUUGGGCCCUUCGGGGCUUAGUAGCGUAGCUAACGCGUGAAGUUGACCGCCUGGGGAGUACGGUCGCAAGAUUAAAACUCAAAUGAAUUGACGGGG